rnacentral:rRNA from 1 species
UAACGCGUGAGGAACCUGCCUUUCAGAGGGGGACAACAGUUGGAAACGACUGCUAAUACCGCAUAAUGCAUAGGUAUCGCAUGGUACAGAUGCCAAAGAUUUAUCGCUGAGAGAUGGCCUCGCGUCUGAUUAGCUAGUUGGUAGGGUAACGGCCUACCAAGGCGACGAUCAGUAGCCGGACUGAGAGGUUGGCCGGCCACAUUGGGACUGAGACACGGCCCAGACUCCUACGGAAGGCAGCAG